rnacentral:pre_miRNA from 1 species
AGAGGUUAAAUUGACUCUAGUAGGGAGUCCGUUUCCCACGCGACUCCCUAAUCGAGUCAGGUUGAUUUCUUU